rnacentral:rRNA from 1 species
UGCGCAGGCGGAAUGAUCAGUUAGUGGUGAAAGCCCCCGGCUCAACCGGGGAACUGCCAUUAAUACUGUCAUUCUUGAGUAUAGUUGAAGUGGGCGGAAUGUAUCAUGUAGCGGUGAAAUGCUUAGAUAUGAUACAGAACACCGAUAGCGUAGGCAGCUUGCUAAACUAUAACUGACGCUCAGGCACGAAAGCGUGGGGAGCAAACAGGAUUAGAUACCCUGGUAGUCC